rnacentral:rRNA from 1 species
AGGACGAACGCUGGCGGCGUGCUUAACACAUGCAAGUCGAACGGUAAGGCCCCUUCGGGGGUACACGAGUGGCGAACGGGUGAGUAACACGUGGGCAACCUGCCCUUGACAUUGGAAUAACAGUUGGAAACAGCUGCUAAUACCGGGUAUGACCUGUCACCGCAUGGUGGUGGGUGGAAAGCCUUGGCGGUCAGGGAUGGGCUCGCGGCCUAUCAGCUAGUUGGUGAGGUAAUGGCUCACCAAGGCUUCGACGGGUA